AAGGACUUAAGUUAAGUUAAACUAAUAACCUUCAAAGUUAUAAUUAAAAGUGAUAUUUUAGGCCUUA
rnacentral:tRNA from 1 species